UGAAGGAAAUCCAUGAAUGUCUACCUUUGUUUUGAUUUCAGUCCUUUUUCAUUCUAAGAAACACCUUCACAAAUAUUAUAUUGUUUUUCACUGGUCUCCGUCAUUCCUUUGAUUGGGAACUUUCCCGACACAUCUACAACAACAACAACAUACCCAGUAUAUUCUCCUUCUAACACAUUUGAUAUAAGAAAUUUGUAAUGUUGUCCAACUUUACUCUUCCACUCUCGAGGCCACUGUUGUCCAUGAUUUCAUGUUGUAGGUUUAGUUUUGUCAUGGAAGUUUCAAUACAUGUAUAUAAGUUUUCUUGGCAGUUGCUAUCUCUACUCACCGACAUUGUAAGCAUAGGAAUAUUGGAAUUUAGAGAUUUCAGAUCGAACCUAUAUCUGUUGAUAUAAGAAAUUUGUAAAUGUGCAGCUCUAUUAAACUGAAAUGUAAACUCGCAAUACUUCUCCUUUCUUUAAGUUUUUAUUCUCAUUCAUUGCCUUAUAUGUAGUAUAGUCAUGGGGCGGCUAAGAUACAAGCAAUAAAUGUAUAUUACGGUAUAUAUCAAAUUCCUUGUAAACACUGAAUAUUUCAUUCGUAAUUUAUCUCAUAUAAAAUAGUAAAAUUUUCUUCUUUAUAUUAAUAUAUAUAUGACAUAAACCAAAAUCAGACCAGAUACCUGAUCAACCUAUAUUUCUUGCCUCUAGUUGUAGUCAAAACACCCAAGUUAGGUUGACUAAAACCAGUGCAGAUCCCACAACGCACCCACAUCCACACCCUAAUCGUGUCAGUUUGCC
rnacentral:lncRNA from 1 species